rnacentral:rRNA from 1 species
UCCAGGCCCUACGGGGCGCAGCAGGCGCGAAACCUUCGCAAUGCGCGAAAGCGCGACGAGGGGAGCCCGAGUGCCCUUCCAUUCGGGAGGGCUUUUCUGGAGCCUAAAAAGCUCCAGGAAUAAGGGCUGGGCAAGACGGGUGCCAGCCGCCGCGGUAAUACCCGCAGCUCGAGUGGUGGCCACUAUUAUUGAGCCUAAAGCGUCCGUAGCCGGACCCGUAAAUCCCUGGGUAAAUCCUGGCGCUCAACGUCAGGAAUUCCGGGGAGACUGCGGGUCUUGGGACCGGGAGAGGCCGGAGGUACUCCCGGGGUAGGGGUAAAAUCCUGUAAUCCCGGGGGGACCACCUGUGGCGAAAGCGUCCGGCUUGAACGGCUCCGACGGUGAGGGACGAAGGCCAGGGGAGCAAACCGGAUUAGAUACCCGGGUAGUCCUGGCUGUAAACGCUGCCCGCUUGGUGUUGCCGGUCUCUCGGGGGCCGGCAGUGCCGGAGCGAAGGUGUUAAGCGGGCCGCUUGGGGAGUACGGCCGCAAGGCUGAAACUUAAAGGAAUUGGCGGGAGAGCACUGCAACGGGAGGAGCGUGCGGUUUAAUUGGAUUCAACGCCGGAAAACUCACCGGGGGCGACCGGCACAUGUGGGCCAGGCUGACGACCUUGCCCGAAUAAGAGCCGGAGAGGUGGUGCAUGGCCAUCGUCAGCUCGUACCGUAGGGCGUUCACUUAAGUGUGAUAACGAGCGAGAACCCCGUCCCCAGUUGCCAUCUGUCCCUCCGGGGGCAGAGCACACUGGGGAGAACGCCAGCGCUAAGCUGGAGGAAGGUGGG